UAUUGAUCCUUCCGCGUAACACUUACCGAAGCCUGAGCAGCCUGUACAGGUCCCCCUCGCGACUUUAAAUAAACACGGGAGGGUGGUUGAAUGCUAGUCCACUUUGCUGGGCAACACUGCUAAAUUGCGGGAACACCCUAAAGACCCUCGACACCAAGCGCCGUCUGGAAACAGCAGCGUGGCCGGGAUAAUGACCCGGGUACGGUAACAGCUCGGGGUAUGAACCUUUGAAAAAAGGUGAAAUGGGCUAUCCGCAGCCAAGUCCUACGGCGCCUCGGGCGCUAUGGAUACUGUUCACAGGCCAAAUGGCAGUGGGUUGCUCCUCCGCGAGCAGCUUAAGAUAUGGUCGGGCUCCCGGGGAGACCUGGGAGAUGAGAUUACGCAUAGAAUAAUUCUUACGAUAGUUUACUAUAUAACCGUUCCGUAGGUGAACCUGCGGAAGGAUCAUUACCGAGAGCGGACCCCUUCGCGGGGUCUACGCCCUUUCUUCUGCCCGUCCGAAACCUUAAAUCCUUCGGCGGGGUGCCUCGCGCCUCCUGCCGGAGGCCUUUUCCAAUGUUCUUGCUGGUCUGCUGUCGGAGUGUAAUACAAAUAAACUAAAACUUUCAACAACGGAUCUCUUGGUUCUGGCAACGAUGAAGAACGCAGCAAAAUGCGAUAAUUAAUGUGAAUUGCAGAUUUUAGUGAAUCAUCGAGUUUUUGAACGCACAUUGCGCCCCUUGGUAUUCCGGGGGGCAUGCCUGUCUGAGCGUCGUUUCGACCUUCGAGCCCCGCUCGGUCCUGGGGGUCCUCAUCCCGCGCUGGAUGCCCCCGCAAGCGGUUGGCGGCCGCCGUUUGGCCACCGGGCGUAGCAGAGCCUUCCGCCCCGGUGCCCACGGCGGCCCGCCGCGGGUCUCCACGGCCCGCCGACUUCUGGACGCUGACCUCAGAUCAGGUAGGGAUACUCGCUGAACUUAAGCAUAUCAAUAAGCGGAGGAAAAGAAACCAACGGGGAUUGCCUCAGUAACGGCGAGUGAAGCGGCAACAGCUCAAAUUUGAAAUCUGGCGCCCCCGGCGCCCGAGUUGUAAUUUGCGGAGGAUGCCUCGGUGCGAGGCCGCGCCCAAGUCCCUUGGAACAGGGCGCCUCAGAGGGUGAGAGUCCCGUUGGGCCGCGGCCGACCUCCGUGUGAGGCUCCUUCGACGAGUCGAGUUGUUUGGGAAUGCAGCUCUAAGCGGGAGGUAAAUUUCUCCUAAGGCUAAAUACCGGCCAGAGACCGAUAGCGCACAAGUAGAGUGAUCGAAAGAUGAAAAGCACUUUGGAAAGAGAGUUAAAAAGCACGUGAAAUUGUUGAAAGGGAAGCGCUUGCGGCCAGACUUGCCGCGGCGGUUCGGCCGGGUGCUCCACCCGGCUUACUCCGCCGCGUCGGGCCAGCAUCAGCUUGGGCGGUCGGACAAAGGCCUGGGGAACGUAGCUCCCUCCGGGGAGUGUUAUAGCCCCUCGCGCAAUGCGGCCUGCCCGGGCUGAGGCUCGCGUUCUGCUAGGAUGCUGGCGUAAUGGCCGCAAGCGGCCCGUCUUGAAACACGGACCAAGGAGUCUACCAUCUGUGCGAGUGUUUGGGUGUCAAACCCGUGCGCGUAAUGAAAGUGAACGGAGGCGGGAGCCCCCGGGCGCACCGUCGACCGAUCCUGAUGUCUUCGGAUGGAUUUGAGUAAGAGCACAGCUGGUGGGACCCGAAAGGUAAGCAACCAAUCCUUUUCUUCUACUUUAUAAAUGAAAGCUAAUAGAAAUUUCCCAGAUGGUGAACUAUGCGUAAACAGGGCGGAGCCAGAGGAAACUCUGGUGGAGGCUCGCAGCGGUUCUG
rnacentral:rRNA from 1 species